UUUAUUUUACAUAUAAAUUUUAGCAUAUAAUUUUAAUUAUUUUAAUAAUAAUUAAUUAUAAUAGUAGUAAUUAAUAUUAAAAAUUUAAGAAAUUAAGAUUUAGUAAUAUAAAAAUUAAUAACUAAUUUUGUGCCAGCAGUUGCGGUUAAACAAAAAUUAAAUUAAAUUAUUUCAGUUUAUAAUUAAUAAGUAAUAAUUAAAAUAAAUAUUAAAUUAUUAGGUGAAAUUUUAAUUUAAUUAAAUUUUAUUUAAAUUUUAUGAUUUAGUAAAUUUUAAUAUAAACUAGGAUUAGAUACCCUAUUAUUGAAAAUUUAAUUUAUAAUACUAAAAUAGUAAAUAAUAAUUUAUUGAAACUUAAAUAAUAUGGCGGUAUUUUAGUUCAUUUAGAGGAAUCUGUCUAAUAAUUGAUAAUCCACGAAUAAAUUUACUUAAUUUAUAAUUUUGUAUAUCAUUGUUAAAAAAAUAUUUUUUAGUAAAAAUAAUAUUUAAAAUUUAAAAAUAAAAAUUAAUUCAGAUCAAGAUGCAGAUUAUAAUUAAGAAUAUGAUGGAUUACAAUAAAUAUAUUUAAAUGAAUAAUUUUUUUGUAAUAAAAAUUUGAAGGUGGAUUUAAAUGUAAUUUUAAUUAGUUUAUUAAAAUGAUUAUAAAUUAAAAUAUGUACAUAUUGCCCGUCACUUUCAUUUAAAAAUUGAAAUAAGUCGUAACAAAGUAGAGGUACUGGAAAGUGUUUCUAGAAA
rnacentral:ncRNA from 1 species